UACGGGGGGGGGCACGCGUUGUUCGGAAUUACUGGGCGUAAAGGGCUCUUAGGCGGCCAACUAAGUCAGACGUGAAAUCCCUCGGCUUAACCGGGGAACUGCGUCUGAUACUGGAUGGCUUGAGUUUGGGAGAGGGAUGCGGAAUUCCAGGUGUAGCGGUGAAAUGCGUAGAUAUCUGGAGGAACACCGGUGGCGAAGGCGGCAUCCGGGACCAACACUGACGCUGAGCGAGCGAAAGCCAGGGGAGCAAACGGG
rnacentral:rRNA from 1 species